UACGUAGGGGGCAAGCGUUGUCCGGAAUCAUUGGGCGUAAAGCGCGCGUAGGCGGCCCGGUAAGUCCGUUGUGAAAGUCAAAGGCUCAACCUUUGAACGCCGAUGGAUACUGCCGGGCUAGAGUCCGGAAGAGGCGAGUGGAAUUCCUGGUGUAGCGGUGGAAUGCGCAGAUAUCCAUAGGAACUCCGGUGGCGAAAGCGGUGUGCUGGAUCCUUUCUGACGCUGAUGCGCGAAAGCCAGGGGAGCAAACGGG
rnacentral:rRNA from 1 species